UUGCAUUUUUCUUAUAAUCUACAGUUUUCCUAUUAUCAGAGUGCUACCGUUAUUUUUAAACUUGAUUGUGCUCAUUUGCAUGAAUUGAAUAUAGUAGUUUUAUGCAAAUAAAUAAACAUCUCCGUUCAUGGGCUGAGCUGGCUGAUAACAUUUAUGAUUUAAAAAAAAGAUCAUAUAAUUAUCUCCAUUUACCAACGCGUCAUGGCAACAAAUAAGCGGUGACCAUGACUCACGGAGUCUGUCUACAAACCGAAACAGAUGGCAUGUUGAAGCUAUUGCCCACCGGAAUGCAGCUGGUGUUUAGGACUGGACUUGGAACCAUGUCAGCUGUUUCAAUAAAGUUACACAUUAAUAACACUUCUGCAAACCUGUACACACAAAAAGUAAAGAAGAAAACAUCUAUAUUUCUCUGAACUGUGGAUUACUAUGCUAUUUGGAUGAAGAAAAAUGUGGCCUGUACUUUUGAAAAUGGACACCAGUUUGUUGGAUUUGGAACCUGACAGCAGUUUAGCUUGAAGAUCUUGUGCAACUCUGUUGAAUAACAUGGAGCUGCAAAAGAAAAACAUCUAUAUUUUAUUUUCCCCCUAACUGUGGAUUACUUUGCUGUUUGGAUGAAGAAAACUAUGGACUGUACUUGUCAAAGAUUGACACCAGCAUGGUAAGUUUUAUUGAACAUUUGACUUGAUCAACAUUAGUGUAUUCAAGUAUCAAUAUCCUGUUCCAUAUCAGUGUUAUUAACAGGCCAGUGCAUAUAUCUUUACUCAAUUGAAAGCUCAACUGAGAAGUACUAACUUAAUGCAUGACAUUUAUUUAAAAGUUGUAAUUAUUAUUAGUUGUCUAAUAAAAGUUAAGAAAACUCAAAACCUGAGGCAACCACCUUCAAGACUUUUUAAAUAAACUCAAAUUAUUUUUA